rnacentral:rRNA from 1 species
AUUGAACGCUGGCGGCAGGCUUAACACAUGCAAGUCGAGCGAGCGGCGGACGGGUGAGUAAUGUCUGGGAAACUGCCUGAUGGAGGGGGAUAACUACUGGAAACGGUAGCUAAUACCGCAUACCAUCAGAUGUGCCCAUAUGGGAUUAGCUAGUAGGGGGGGUAAUGGCUCACCUAGGCGACGAGCCCUAGCGGGUCUGAGAGGAUGACCGGCCACACUGGAACGUAGACACGGUCCAGAAUCCUACGGAAGGCAGCAGGGGGGAAUAUUGCACAAUGGGCGCAAGCCUGAUGCAGCCAUGCCGCGUGUGUGAAGAAGGCCUUCGGGUUGUAAAGCACUUUCAGCGAGGAGGCGUUACUCGCAGAAGAAGCACCGGCUAACUCCGUGCCAGCAGCCGCGGUAAUAC